rnacentral:RNase_P_RNA from 1 species
GAAGUUCGCCAGGCAGUCGCUGCGCACCAUGUCGUGCGUGGAGGAAAGUCCGGGCCCCGCAGAGCAGGAUGCCGGCUAACGGCCGGGCGCCGUGAGGCGACGGAAAGUGCAACAGAGAGCAGACCGCCGAUGGCCCGCGAAAGUGGGAUCAGGUAAGGGUGAAACGGUGAGGUAAGAGCUCACCGCAGGACUGGCGACAGGACUGGCACGGCAAACCCCAUCCGGGGCAAGGCCAAAUAGGGGAGCAUUGGCGUGGCUCGCGUCGCUCCCGGGUAGGCUGCUAGAGCUUCACGGCAACGUGUCGCCCAGAGGAAUGACUGCCCGAUGUCGCCGGCUUGCGCCGGAGGCGUUCGACAGAACCCGGCUUAUCGGCGAACUUCCCCA